rnacentral:rRNA from 1 species
GCCUUAGUAACGGCGAGUGAAGCGGCAACAGCUCAAAUUUGAAAUCUGGCCCUCGGGUCCGAAUUGUAAUUUGUAGAGGAUGAUUUUGGUGCGGUAUCUUCCGAGUUCCUUGGAACAGGACGCCUUAGAGGGUGAGAGCCCCGUACGGUUGAAUGCCUAGCCUCUGUAAAUCUCCUUCGACGAGUCGAGUAGUUUGGGAAUGCUGCUCUAAAUGGGAGGUAAAUUUCUUCUAAAGCUAAAUAUUGGCCAGAGACCGAUAGCGCACAAGUAGAGUGAUCGAAAGAUGAAAAGCACUUUGAAAAGAGGGUUAAAUAGCACGUGAAAUUGUUGAAAGGGAAGGAUUUGUGACCAGACUUUUUCUGGGCGGAUCAUCCGGGGUUCUCUCCGGUGCACUUUGCCCAGUAAAGGCCAGCAUCGAUUUUCGGCGGCGGAUAAAAGCAGUGGGAAUGUGGCUCCCUACGGGGAGUGUUAUAGCCCAUUGUAUAAUACGCUGCUGGGGAUCGAGGUACGCGCUUCUGCAAGGAUGCUGGCGUAAUGGUUAUCAAUCACCCGUCUU